rnacentral:rRNA from 1 species
AGUAACGCGUGGGCAACCUGCCUUAUACAGGGGGAUAACACAGGGAAACUUGUGCUAAUACCGCAUAAGUAUCAUUGUAUGGACAUCAUACGAUGAUCAAAGGAGCAAUCCGGUAUGAGAUGGGCCCGCGUCCGAUUAGCUAGUUGUGGGGUAACAGCUCACCAAGGCGACGAUCGGUAGCCGAACUGAGAGGUUGAUCGGCCACAUUGGGACUGAGACACGGCCCAGACUCCUACGGGAGGCAGCAGUGGGGAAUAUUGCGCAAUUGGGGGGAAACCCUGACGCAGCAACGCCGCGUGAAGGAUGAAGGCCUUCGGGUUGUAAACUUCUUUGAUUGGGGAAGAAGAAAGUGACUGUACCCAAAAAACAAGCCACGGCUAACUACGUGCCAGCAGCGGC